AUUUUUUAAAACUGAUUUUCCACCUUUUACAGGUUGAUAAGACCUUUUCUUUACACCGUGAGAGUGAACAGUAAGUGUCUCUUCAUUGCACAGAUUUUGCACUUGGUCAAAGUUUUAGUCUUUAAACAUCCUGCAUUCUCUAGGCUGCAGCAUUCGUUUUCAGAUGAAAACCUUAUGGAAGCAGUUUGAUUCUCUUCCACUGAAGAAAGAACAGAAGAAAGAAGGAAAGAGAGAGAGAAGAAAGGAGGGAGGGGAGGGAGAAAGGAAGGAGAAAGGGAAAAAGGAAAGGAGAGAGAGAAAGGGAAAAGUCGAAACUUCUGGAUUCAGUUAAUGGCCCAUCACUCUAAUGACAUCCAUCUGUGUCUGUGUUUGAUGGUCAUUACCAGCAGAUGGUCCCUUCCACCUGAAUUCUCAGCAGUGUCCCUUUGCAAGGUCUGCUUCUUGUAUUUCUCUCUGGUCUGCAGGACAAGGUUGUUUGGGGGCAGGAGUUGAUGAGAAUUAUUUUGGAAAACUGACUUCUCUCAUUCAGACACAGCUUUUCCGGAGCAGAGUAUUUUCAGAACGUUUACUGGCAGCAUAACAUAGAUGAUAUCACAGAAGUAAUUCCCGCACCGCUGAGCUGCUUAAUGCCCCGGUUAAACACGGCUCUGAUGUCAGCAGCCUCCCGCAGGGACAGCUGCCAAGGUCGUGCUGGGCUGCAAGACUCGCCACCCCGGGAAGGCUCCUUCUCUCCAACCUCCACUCCGAAGAGUGGCUGAGGCUGAUUCUCACACUACGCCCACCUCACAUGGAGUCAGGGACAUGCAAAGACACGCAGUCGUGGUUUCUGCCUGUUUGCCACAACUCUGUCCCAGAGAGUACAUUGUAUAAAAGCACAGAGGAAUCGAGCAUGUUGGCAGGUGAGGGGAAUGGAGCUCAGCGGUAGAGCGCCCACUUAGCAUGCACGAGGUCCUGGGUUCCAUCCCCCAUCCCUCCUCUAAAACCAACUAAAUAAAUAAACCUAAUUACCCCCCAAACAAACAAACAGACAAACAAACAAAAACAAACAAGAAUACUGGCAUUGUGCAGGAACGCAUAUUCCCUGCUCACAGAAAGACAUCUCCAAAAGAUAUCUAACCCUCCUAGCCUCUGGCCCGAGUCUUUGACGUCUGCAGGACACAAAGUGGCAUUUGUGUAGAUGACCUCCACCGCCCCUGGUAGAUCUGACACUCUGACAGCUCACCAAGGCAGAGAAGGUUUCCUGCUCCAGCAGAGGAGGGGCCUGAGCAGCCAAGGAAGCCCCCAGCACCCCUCACCAUCUGAUUCACGGUUCCUCCACACCCCAGGGAUGGUGGGCGGCUGGGCCCAUGGGGCUCUGCCCUCACAGGGUGCGAAAGGACCAGCUCAGGCCCAGGAGCCGACCUGCAGGGAGCACCUCUGUCAUGUCUCCAUGGGUCGUAAGACAGAGGUGGUCUUAAAGGGGAAUCUGUGCUGUACACCAGAAACUAAUACAGCAUCGUGGAUCAACUAUACUUCAAUAAUAAAGAAAUACAUAAGAAAAAGAAAGGGGAGAGGAGCCAAAACUGGGACUAUUUUCAGAGACGUGGUCAGGGUUCAGGGCGCCAACGGGGUGCCAGGGCACCAGGACCAGUAAGAGCCGAAAGCUCUGUCCCCAGAGCCCCGUGAGGUCGGCCCCAGGCCUGGCCACAGCCCGGAUCACACUUUCCACCAGGGAGAGCCAGUCCAUGAGUGCAGAUAAGCCGGUCAGAUAAUCUUUCCCCAAGAAAUUGAACUUUGCGGCCAGAGACCAAGCUGGACCUACAGGGUGAGACCCUACAUCUCUCAGACCCUGUGGAGCUGAAACCAGUGGAAAAGAGAAAUUAAGAGGAUCACGGAGGAAUUCAGUCUGGCGAGAGAAGGGAACUGAUAUGGAGGGCGCAGAAAUUAAAGACCAUGUGGCUGCAGAGGCACGGAGAGGUGUCCUCUCCAAGGUCUUUGACUCCCCAGUGCCGCCCAGCUUAGCUCUGCCUAGUCCUUAGCCAUCUGGGAUUCACCCCCCCUUACGCCACCCACUUACACUGGCCCCAGCAACCAGAAUUUUCCUGGGACACCAUCAAAUAUUCAGCUAGAUGUUAAUGGCUGCAACAGGUUUCAUUUUAUAAUUUAACCAACCAUUGUUUCCAAUAUUUUGCAUUAUAAAUAUCCCUGUAGUUAAAUCUCUGAGUACAACCACAAUUCUUCUCUAGAGAUGAAUUCUAAGAACUGGAAUUGCAGGACAAUGUGGAUAUUUUGAUGUGUAUUGUUUAUUGCCUUCAGUUCAACUAACUUUUACCUGGACAACCAGUAUAGGACAGACACUGUUUAAGCCUAGCUUCUAAAUACUUGUUUUUUUGACAUUCCUGUUUUUUUGUCCAUGCCAGUAUGUUAGGUUGAAAACAAGUACUUCAUUGUUAAUUUUCAUUUUAUUGGUUGAACUUUUCCCUGGAUAUUGAUGGGCACUUAUAUUUGUGUGUGUGUAUAUCUUGAGUUUAUAACUUUCACUUAUUUUCCAUCACUGUGGUCAACAUUUUCUCAUUGAUUUGUAAGAGAUUUUCAAAUUAACCCAUUAUCUGUCACUGUGGCUUAAGUAUUUUUCUGGUUUAUUGUUUGAUUUCAAAAUUUUAUUCGUGUGUUUUUUUUAACACAGAGAAGUUUUGAAAUUUUUCAAAUUUAAAAUUAGGAAAAUAAGAGUUGAUUGUUAAAAAACCAACAGCAAAAAUAUGUAAAGUAAGAAUGUGAAACCCCCACUUAUUCAGCCCACCCAACUCCAACCCCAACUCCAACCCCAAUCCCAACCCCAGCCUCAGUGGGUAAACACCACCAGCCAUCUGAUGCUUAUCUUCUCACCAUUUCUAGGCAUAUACAAACAUAUGCAGUUGAAGGUUUUCAAAACAAAAAGGAAAUCACACAUAUUAUUCUACAAACUUUUCCAUCCUAGAAUGGAUGUGGACAGUGUGGACAACUUUUCUAUGUCAGCAAUUAGAAUCUACUGUAUUUCUUAAAUGUAUGAUGUAAUAGGGAUGUAUCAUGCACUUGUAUAACCACCUACCCAUUUAUAAAUAUUUAAUUGUUUUUAAUGUUAUAGACAAUACAGCAACAGUCAUAA